AUCCAGCUGACGAGUCCCAAAUACGACGAAAGGUGUGUCCUGGAU
rnacentral:hammerhead_ribozyme from 1 species